GAUGAACACUGGCGGCGUGCUUAACACAUGCAAGUCGAGCGAGAGAGUUCUUCGGAACAAUCUAGCGGCGGACGGGUGAGUAACACGUGGGCAACCUGCCUCAUAGAGGGGAAUAGCCUUCCGAAAGGAAGAUUAAUACCGCAUAACAUCGUUGAAGGGCAUCCUUCGAUGAUCAAAGGAGCAAUCCGCUAUGAGAUGGGCCCGCGGCGCAUUGGCUAGUGGGUGAGGUAACGGCUCACCAAGGCGACGAUGCGUAGCCGACCUGAGAGGGUGAUCGGCCACAUUGGGACUGAGACACGGCCCAGACUCCUACGGGAGGCAGCAGUGGGGAAUAUUGCACAAUGGGGGAAACCCUGAUGCAGCAACGCCGCGUGAGUGAUGACGGCCUUCGGGUUGUAAAGCUCUGUCUUUGGGGACGAUAAUGACGGUACCCAAGGAGGAAGUCACGGUUAACUACGUGCCAGCCGCCGCCGUAA
rnacentral:rRNA from 1 species